GUCAAGGUGGCCUAGUGGUUAGGGGCUAGGGCUUGGGUCUGGAAGGUCCCUGGUUCUAAUCCCUGGUUCUAAUC